GGGAAAAUUAAUGUGCAGAUUUGACAAAUAAGUCUUAACUGGGAUCCAAUAGGCAGACUUUCAUAUUACUUGUAUUUAAUUUAAAUCAUGAUCUGAAUUGCUCUUUGGCAAAUCUUUGUUGGUCACAGUAUUCAACUGAAUUUUGUUCACUUUGUAGUGAUUAUAUUUUCUAUAUUUAUCAGACAACAUCUUUCUUCAAAAGUUUAACAUGAUUGCUUGGUUAAUUUAGAAACAAGAUCAAUGCAUCAUAACAUAAAAUGAAAAUAAGUGUAAUAGUAAAAAUGGCAGCAAAAAAGCACUAGAUUAUCUGCCUUAAAUCUGAGACGAUAUGUUGAUGUAUUGGAAUUUCUCAUAAAUAAUGUGUUCCAUAGUUGUAUAAUUGUAUAGUCGCAUGCAUGAGUGGUGUCAAUGUCACAAUACCAAUUAAAGCCUAUAAUUUACUAAAACAAUUUGAAGUUUGAUGUGUGUUUUUUUCAAGAUCUGUUAUGUAUAAUUAUAUAUACAUGUAUAUAUAUAUUGUUGAAAAGUUAACAUGCAAUAAGUUUACUGUAAUUAAGUGACAAAUAGUUUUACUGAUUUGGUUGGAUGCAUAUAUGCAGAUAUAUCAUGGUUUGUGCAGAGGACAGUAGCAAAAACAAGAGCUGUCUCCGUAGGAUGACAUAUGCCCCCGAUAAACGCUUUAAUAAAAGUUAUGAGCAUUUUUCAAAACCUAAACGCCGACCCUUAGUUCAAGGUCAAAGGGGUCAAAAUUUGUGUGUGUAUGGGAAGGCCUUGUCCAUAUACACAUGCAUACCAAAUAUGAAUGUUACAUCUGAAGCGACAUAGAAGUUAUGAGCAUUUUUUCGAAACCUAAAUGCAAAGUGUGACGGAUAGACAGACGGACAGUGCGAUCACUAUAUGCCCUCCUUUGGGGGCAUAAAAAUGUGUUUCCCAUUGUUUUGGUAAAUUAGUAAUGUAGUUAAAAGAACAGAAUCAUCAAUUAUAAAGUUAUUGAUUAUAAAGUGUUGCUGGCAUAUUUGAUGCAUUCAUUUAGCUAUAAGAAGGUCCCUGUUUUAUCCCCACUGGCACCGAGUGAGGGUUCUCAAAAUCUUUAAACAAUAUGAAUAACUACAUAUAGGGUCAAGAGCCUUGUUGAUAUGGGGGCUAAACACCUGAAAUCAAAGCGACCCAGGUUAAAGGCCGAGGCCGCAUGAGCCUGCUAUACUCUGAACAAGUAUUGUUUCUACUCAGAAAACUGGCUUAAGUGUCUUACUAAGCUUUAGACUUUGAGUUUCAGUGCAAUCAAUCUAAAAUAAAUUGGUCAAAUUAAAUAAUAAUUUGUAGAAAUAAACAUUCUGCACAAAUUCAAUUAUUUACUUUACCUGUGUGCAUGAAUCAUUUCAGUCUUGAUGGUUAGUGAACUAUGUCAAAAGCACCAUAGCUAUGAAACACUUGUAUUUUGAAUAGUGCAAUGUUCCACAGAAAUGAUGCUGAUGAUAAUUCUACACGAUGAUGAAUUAUUAGAUAUAUUUCUAAAUUCCAUUUCCACCAACAAAUCGGUUAUUCCACUACCAGUUCACAUGCUUCAUACACAGUUGAAAAUAACACUAUUUCACUCAACAACCGUGACACAUGUACUCAAUUUUUCAACUUUUCGCAAUUAAACUUGUCUCCUACUG